rnacentral:rRNA from 1 species
GACGAACGCUGGCGGCGUGCCUAAUACAUGCAAGUAGAACGCUGAAGCGAGGAGCUUGCUCUUCUUGGAUGAGUUGCGAACGGGUGAGUAACGCGUAGGUAACCUGCCUUUUAGCGGGGGAUAACUAUUGGAAACGAUAGCUAAUACCGCAUAACAAUAGGUGACACAUGUCAUUUAUUUGAAAGGGGCAAUUGCUCCACUACAAGAUGGACCUGCGUUGUAUUAGCUAGUAGGUGAGGUAACGGCUCACCUAGGCGACGAUACAUAGCCGACCUGAGAGGGUGGUCGGCCACCCUGGGACUGAGACACGGCCCAGAAUCCUACGGGAGGCAGCAGUAGGGAAUCUUCGGACAUGGGGGCAAACCUGACCGAGCAAAGCCGCGUGAGUGAAAAAGGUUUUCGGAUCGUAAAGCUCUGUUGUAAGUCAAGAACGAGUGUGAGAGUGGAAAGUUCACACUGUGACGGUAGCUUAACAGAAAGGAACGGCUAACUACGUG